AAGCACCCCGGAAGGGGAGUGAAAUAGAACCUGAAACCGUGUGCUUACAAGUAGUCAGAGCCCGUUAAUGGGUGAUGGCGUGCCUUUUGUAGAAUGAACCGGCGAGUUACGAUUUGAUGCAAGGUUAAGCAGUAAAUGUGGAGCCGUAGCGAAAGCGAGUCUGAAUAGGGCGUUUAGUAUUUGGUCGUAGACCCGAAACCAGGUGAUCUACCCUUGGUCAGGUUGAAGUUCAGGUAACACUGAAUGGAGGACCGAACCGACUUACGUUGAAAAGUGAGCGGAUGAACUGAGGGUAGCGGAGAAAUUCCAAUCGAACCUGGAGAUAGCUGGUUCUCUCCGAAAUAGCUUUAGGGCUAGCCUCAAGUGAUGAUUAUUGGAGGUAGAGCACUGUUUGGACGAGGGGCCCCUCUCGGGUUACCGAAUUCAGACAAACUCCGAAUGCCAAUUAAUUUAACUUGGGAGUCAGAACAUGGGUGAUAAGGUCCGUGUUCGAAAGGGAAACAGCCCAGACCACCAGCUAAGGUCCCAAAAUAUAUGUUAAGUGGAAAAGGAUGUGGCGUUGCCCAGACAACUAGGAUGUUGGCUUAGAAGCAGCCAUCAUUUAAAGAGUGCGUAAUAGCUCACUAGUCGAGUGACACUGCGCCGAAAAUGUACCGGGGCUAAACAUAUUACCGAAGCUGUGGAUUGUCCUUUGGACAAUGGUAGGAGAGCGUUCUAAGGGCGUUGAAGCAUGAUCGUAAGGACAUGUGGAGCGCUUAGAAGUGAGAAUGCCGGUGUGAGUAGCGAAAGACGGGUGAGAAUCCCGUCCACCGAUUGACUAAGGUUUCCAGAGGAAGGCUCGUCCGCUCUGGGUUAGUCGGGUCCUAAGCUGAGGCCGACAGGCGUAGGCGAUGGAUAACAGGUUGAUAUUCCUGUACCACCUAUAAUCGUUUUAAUCGAUGGGGGGACGCAGUAGGAUAGGCGAAGCGUGCGAUUGGAUUGCACGUCUAAGCAGUAAGGCUGAGUAUUAGGCAAAUCCGGUACUCAUUAAGGCUGAGCUGUGAUGGGGAGAAGACAUUGUGUCUUCGAGUCGUUGAUUUCACACUGCCGAGAAAAGCCUCUAGAUAGAAAAUAGGUGCCCGUACCGCAAACCGACACAGGUAGUCAAGAUGAGAAUUCUAAGGUGAGCGAGCGAACUCUCGUUAAGGAACUCGGCAAAAUGACCCCGUAACUUCGGGAGAAGGGGUGCUCUUUAGGGUUAACGCCCAGAAGAGCCGCAGUGAAUAGGCCCAAGCGACUGUUUAUCAAAAACACAGGUCUCUGCUAAACCGUAAGGUGAUGUAUAGGGGCUGACGCCUGCCCGGUGCUGGAAGGUUAAGAGGAGUGGUUAGCUUCUGCGAAGCUACGAAUCGAAGCCCCAGUAAACGGCGGCCGUAACUAUAACGGUCCUAAGGUAGCGAAAUUCCUUGUCGGGUAAGUUCCGACCCGCACGAAAGGCGUAACGAUUUGGGCACUGUCUCAACGAGAGACUCGGUGAAAUCAUAGUACCUGUGAAGAUGCAGGUUACCCGCGACAGGACGGAAAGACCCCGUGGAGCUUUACUGUAGCCUGAUAUUGAAAUUCGGCACAGCUUGUACAGGAUAGGUAGGAGCCUUUGAAACGUGAGCGCUAGCUUACGUGGAGGCGCUGGUGGGAUACUACCCUAGCUGUGUUGGCUUUCUAACCCGCACCACUUAUCGUGGUGGGAGACAGUGUCAGGCGGGCAGUUUGACUGGGGCGGUCGCCUCCUAAAAGGUAACGGAGGCGCUCAAAGGUUCCCUCAGAAUGGUUGGAAAUCAUUCAUAGAGUGUAAAGGCAUAAGGGAGCUUGACUGCGAGACCUACAAGUCGAGCAGGGUCGAAAGACGGACUUAGUGAUCCGGUGGUUCCGCAUGGAAGGGCCAUCGCUCAACGGAUAAAAGCUACCCCGGGGAUAACAGGCUUAUCUCCCCCAAGAGUUCACAUCGACGGGGAGGUUUGGCACCUCGAUGUCGGCUCA
rnacentral:rRNA from 1 species